rnacentral:rRNA from 1 species
UUGUGCUAAGGUAGCAUAAUCAUUUGUCUUUUAAUUGAAGACUAGAACAAAAGAUUUAACAAUCCAAUUAAUAUAUUAAAUUAAUUAAAUUAAUUUAUUUUAAAUGUUAAAAAACAUUUAUAAAACAGAAAGACGACAAGACCCUAUUAAACUUAACUGUAGUUAAACUGGGGAAGUUUAUCAAUUAUUAUUUUAUAUAAAAUAAAAUAAAAAAAGAUCCAAUACAAUUGAUUACAUGAUCAAGUUACUAUAGGGAUAACAGCGUUAUAUUUAUCUAAAGAUCUUAUAAAAAUAAAAACUUGCGACCUCGAUGUUGAAUUAAUAACCUAAAUUGUUGCAGUAAACAAAUAAA